rnacentral:rRNA from 2 species
CAAGUCGAGCGGAUGACGGGAGCUUGCUCCUUGAUUCAGCGGCGGACGGGUGAGUAAUGCCUAGGAAUCUGCCUGGUAGUGGGGGACAACGUUUCGAAAGGAACGCUAAUACCGCAUACGUCCUACGGGAGAAAGCAGGGGACCUUCGGGCCUUGCGCUAUCAGAUGAGCCUAGGUCGGAUUAGCUAGUUGGUGGGGUAAUGGCUCACCAAGGCGACGAUCCGUAACUGGUCUGAGAGGAUGAUCAGUCACACUGGAACUGAGACACGGUCCAGACUCCUACGGGAGGCAGCAGUGGGGAAUAUUGGACAAUGGGCGAAAGCCUGAUCCAGCCAUGCCGCGUGUGUGAAGAAGGUCUUCGGAUUGUAAAGCACUUUAAGUUGGGAGGAAGGGCAGUAAGCUAAUACCUUGCUGUUUUGACGUUACCGACAGAAUAAGCACCGGCUAACUCUGUGCCAGC